UUCCCCUCCCCCCACCCCCCCGCGCCGCCAAAAGAAGAACAACCUAGGGUUAGGGUUGUGGAGGCGGCGGCUGCUAAAUUCCAGAUCCGAUCGCCAUGCCCGGGCUGGAGGAGGAGAUGUUCGUAGCCACCAUAGUCGCGCGAGAGUCGAAGGAGGAGGCCGCCAUGGCCACCGAAGUCGCGCCAGAGCCAGAGGAGAAGACCGUCGUCUUCCCCGAUUGGGUGAUGCUGGAUCGCUUCGGCCGCACCCACAGCCAUGCCGACCUAGACGCUGCACGUGAGGCGGCCAAUAAGAAGAAGACCGCCGUUGAAGUCGUCACGGCCACCGGCCACCGCUGCUUCUUGUCCUUCGCCCUCUCGGAUCCUCCAGAGGUCUCUUACCUCGAUCUCGAGUGGCCGCGGGAAGGCUCAGUCGAACCCGUGGCCCCCUCCCGCCUGCCCGCGUAUCCCUACGUCCGGGCAACUGACGAGGACCUCGUCCUCUUCGAAAUCAACAUCCCAAGACAGCUCCACGACUUGCCGUCAGAUCUGUUCGUCUACACAGCUGGUCGUACCCCCUCGGUGGAUCAGCUCCCUCUGUACACUGAGCCCAUGGUAAGCCCGUUUCUGAUGUCAAAAUUCGACACAGGCAUCCUGCGCCUCCCGGACAACAGCUACAUCGUUUCCGACAUCAAGGUCUACCAUAAAGAGAAUGGCCCUGACAAUUAUUCCAUGUUUGUCGAGCUCUACGUCUUCAACUCCAAGACCAAAGAGUGGAAACGCUUCCCCGAGAUGCCUGCCCCCCAGCCGCAAGACGAGAGCAAUACCCAGUUCCCCAUCCUCUGGUCAACUGAGGAGGUGCUUGCUUUCGGCCACAGGUUCCUCUGCUGUGUCGACUACUUGAGCGGUGUCCUGCUAUGCGACUUCUCUCCAAUUUAGAGUCCCCGGUGCUCCACUUCGUGCCUUUCCAUGGAGGAGAUGGGUACUCUGAGAAGCUACAGAUCAUGCCUUUCCUUGGAGGAAAAGAGAACGCUAAGAAGGAACAGAUGGCAAAGUGCUUAGCGGAGAGAUUCCGACGUGUGUCCGUCAGCCAAGGCAUGAUGCACUUUGUCCGCAUUGAUGGCUGGCGUCCGCCUCUUGAGAGAAUCCAAGGGCAGCAGCAGCCUCUCCAAAAGAUCACAGUAUGGACUUUGGAUAUCGGGGAUGGUAGCAAGUUCAAGUGGAAGAUUCAUUGGGGGAUCAACCUGGAUCUUCUCUCUGGGCGCAAGAUGGUUUCCAUGCUCUGGACAUACCUCGCUGUCUUCCCCAGUUCCCAGUCGUCUGUGCGAACAAUCCGGACGCCCUAUGCUGCCUGUUGAGGAAAGAGGAACUUUCUGGACAGCCGUGGAUGAUCAUGGUUGACAUGAACCAGGAAGAUCUGCAGCCAUCUACUAAAUAUAUCAAUCAAAUCUUCUUUUCUCAUCUGCCCCUACUUCCAACUGUCUUCUCCAAAUACCUUGUAAGGCCAACAGUGAUACCCCGGGACAACAAGCUCAAGCUCGCAGCUAGCUCUUCAGAGGAGAUUAUGCCCAUAACUGGAGAAAGCUUAAGUUUGCAAUGUGAAUUCCAAGACCUGAAAACUGAUGACCCGGCUUGGAACCUUCUUCUGGUUGGUCACACAAAAGAUGGUAUUUGUCCUGAAUGUCAUGGGAAUGUCAUGGGAUGAGGAUGAUGGGAUGAGGAUGUGUACUACCUCUAUCCCAAAAUAAGUGUCUCAAGUUUAGUACUCCCUCCGUCCCAUAAUAUAGGAACGUUAUUGACAAUCUCAACUUUAGUAUAAAGUUGUACUCAGUGUCAAUAACGUUCCUAUAUUAUGGGACGGAGGGAGUACAAACUAAAGUUGAGAUACUUAUUUUGGGACGGAGGGAGUAUUAAAUACCUAUGUCAGUAAGAGUAAACGAUACAUGUUCUGGAUCCUGUAAUCAUAUGUUUAAGACCCCGUAUCUCAAAAGUUUGAGAUUGAAAGCCUUCUCUUUUUAUUCUUUCUCGCAUAAUAAAUCAAGCGGGUUUUGCAGGCAA